AUUGAACGCUGGCGGCAUGCCUUACACAUGCAAGUCGAACGGUAACGGGCUUUCGGGUGCCGACGAGUGGCGAACGGGUGAGUAAUGCAUCGGAACGUACCUUUCAGUGGGGGAUAACGUAGCGAAAGUUACGCUAAUACCGCAUAUUCUGUGAGCAGGAAAGCAGGGGAUCGCAAGACCUUGCGCUGAUUGAGCGGCCGAUGUCAGAUUAGCUAGUUGGUGAGGUAAAGGCUCACCAAGGCGACGAUCUGUAGCGGGACUGAGAGGAUGAUCCGCCACACUGGAACUGAGACACGGUCCAGACUCCUACGGGAGGCAGCAGUGGGGAAUUUUGGACAAUGGGGGCAACCCUGAUCCAGCCAUGCCGCGUGAGUGAAGAAGGCCUUCGGGUUGUAAAGCUCUUUCGGCCGGGAAGAAAUCGUAUCAGCUAAUACCUGGUGCGGAUGACGGUACCGGCAUAAGAAGCACCGGCUAACUACGUGCCAGCCGCCGCGGUAAGAC
rnacentral:rRNA from 1 species